rnacentral:rRNA from 1 species
UACGAAGGGGGCUAGCGUUGCUCGGAAUCACUGGGCGUAAAGGGUGCGUAGGCGGGUCUUUUAAGUCAGGGGUGAAAUCCUGGAGCUCAACUCCAGAACUGCCUUUGAUACUGAGGAUCUUGAGUUCGGGAGAGGUGAGUGGAACUGCGAGUGUAGAGGUGAAAUUCGUAGAUAUUCGCAAGAACACCAGUGGCGAAGGCGGCUCACUGGCCCGA